rnacentral:tRNA from 1 species
GGCAGCACGGCUCAGUGGCAAGAGCCCGGGCUUGGGGAGUCAGAGGUCAUGGGUUCUAAUCCCGGUUCCGCCG